GCAUAUCAAUAAGCGGAGGAAAAGAAACCAACAGGGAUUGCCUCAGUAACGGCGAGUGAAGCGGCAACAGCUCAAAUUUGAAAUCUGGCUCUUUCAGGGUCCGAGUUGUAAUUUGUAGAGGAUGUUUCGGGUGUGGCUCCGGUCUAAGUUCCUUGGAACAGGACGUCAUAGAGGGUGAGAAUCCCGUAUGUGACUGGUAGCCUAUGCCCAUGUGAAACUCCUUCGACGAGUCGAGUUGUUUGGGAAUGCAGCUCAAAAUGGGUGGUAAAUUUCAUCUAAAGCUAAAUAUUGGCCAGAGACCGAUAGCGCACAAGUAGAGUGAUCGAAAGAUGAAAAGCACUUUGGAAAGAGAGUUAAACAGUACGUGAAAUUGUUGAAAGGGAAGCGCUUGCAACCAGACUUGCACGUAGCUGAUCAACCGGUGUUCUCACCGGUGCACUCAGUUGCGUUCAGGCCAGCAUCGGUUUCGACGGUUGGAUAAAGGCCUUGGGAAUGUAGCUUCUUUCGGGGAGUGUUAUAGCCCAGGGUGCAAUGCAGCCUGUUGGGACCGAGGACCGCGCUUCGGCUAGGAUGCUGGCGUAAUGGUUGUAAGCGACCCGUCUUGAAACACGGACCAAGGAGUCUAACAUCUAUGCGAGUGUUUGGGUGUCAAACCCAUACGCGUAAUGAAAGUGAACGGAGGUGAGAACCCUUAAGGGUGCAUCAUCGACCGAUCCUGAUGUCUUCGGAUGGAUUUGAGUAAGAGCAUAGCUGUUGGGACCCGAAAGAUGGUGAACUAUGCCUGAAUAGGGUGAAGCCAGAGGAAACUCUGGUGGAGGCUCGCAGCGGUUCUGACGUGCAAAUCGAUCGUCAAAUUUGGGUAUAGGGGGCGAAAGACUAAUCGAACCAUCUAGUAGCUGGGUUCCUGCCGA
rnacentral:rRNA from 1 species